rnacentral:rRNA from 1 species
AAGCCACGGUUUUAUCUUUGGAAAGGUAUCGGAGGGCGUCCUGGCCACGACUCCAUCUUCUCCAAGUACUUGACGGGGACGACGCCAUCGAAACCCUCUGUCAGUAUCACCUUGUUGUCGGAGAUGUAUAGCUUCAUCCCAUCUGAGAAACGAAUUCGGCAAUCAGAUACUAGCAUGUCUAGUCUAGCGAGAAAGUAA